rnacentral:misc_RNA from 1 species
UUUCCGUAGGUGAACCUGCGGAAGGAUCAUUACAGAGUUCAUGCCCUCACGGGUCGAUCUCCCAACCUUGAAUAUUUAUACCUUAGUUGCCUUGGCAGGCCGUGGCAUCACGAUGGGCCCGGGCGUAUGUGUGCCUGCCAGAGGAAACAAACUCUGUUUUUAGUGAUGUCUGAGUACUAUAUAAUAGUUAAAACUUUUAACAACGGAUCUCUUAGUUCUGGCAUAGAUGAAGAACGAAGAAUAUCGGAGUACAACACUUCAGGACUCAAGCAACAAUUC